UAAAAAUUAGUUAAUACAUAACAUAGUUUUGUCAAAACUAAAUAACUUAUUAAAGUAUUUUUUU
rnacentral:tRNA from 1 species